rnacentral:rRNA from 1 species
GGAAUAUUGGUCAAUGGGCGCAAGCCUGAACCAGCCAUGCCGCGUGAAGGAAGAAGGUUUUAUGGAUUGUAAACUUCUUUUAUUUAGGAAUAAACCUCUCGACGUGUCGGGAGCUGAAGGUACUAAAUGAAUAAGCACCGGCUAACUCCGUGCCAGUAGCCGCGGUAAUACGGAGGGUGCAAGCGUUAUCCGGAAUCAUUGGGUUUAAAGGGUCCGCAGGCGGAUUUAUAAGUCAGUGGUGAAAUCCUGCAGCUCAACUGCAGAACUGCCAA